rnacentral:tRNA from 1 species
GUCCCUGUAGGGCAACGGACAGCGCGUUGGACUUCUAAUCCAAAGCUCGUCGGUUCGAAUCCCACCUGGGAUG